GGGUGGUAUAUCAGACAGCUUAUUAAAGAGACAAGCUUGCUGCUUUCUCAAAGUCAGAUGACAGAACAAGUCAGGAUCUAGUGUGGAAGGAAAAUGAGAUCUCUAGUGAUGUCUACAUUGUGAUUGACUCUGAAGAGUCUAAGACCAAUUGUUGCUUAAUGGCCCUUAUUGGCCUUUUGCAAUAAAAACUGAUACGAUCUUAAAACAAAACAGAUGGUUCUUAAAAAUGGUGUCUUUUGGACCCAAAGUAUGAUACUUAGUGAAAUGUCACAUAAAAAGGUACAUGAAGAUUUAAUUAGAAGAUAUUGUUUUAUGGAGGAUUUGAUCAUUGGCCACUUAAAAUUUCUCUCGCCCUUCAAGCAAGAUAUACAUUGACAUGAAAUAUUUUCAUUUAAAGGUCUACAAUAAAAGUGAUGUGUUGUUCUG